UUAACAAGAAGAGACGUGUAACGGUAAAGACUAUUUCAAUCAAAAGAAAUGGUAAUAAUGUUGUAUCUAAUAUAUCAAAUUCUGUCUAUGGUUUUUGCCAUUUAACAUUACCAGAAUAUUCAAUUUUAGGGAUCGAUAUGGUUUUAUACGUGCAUAAAAACAUUUCCUCCAAUAACUGUUUUGGUAUUAAUGAUGAACAAAUAUCGUGAAGAGAAAGAAGCCUCUGGUUUUUAUUGAGUGUGUAGUUCAGUCACAAAGAUAACCCGUUCUUACAAACUUAAGCAGCUUCCAACCACAAAACCUAAACAAGAAAAAACCAACAUGUCCGCCUUCCAAUAAUUCUCUUGUAGAUGUACAGAUUAAAGGUACAAGACAUCCAAGGAAGGAAUGUAACAGCACUACCUCUCAAGCCCCGCGAAGGCAAAAGCUCUCAGGCGGCCACUGCGGAACAUGCGCUUGGAUGUAUCACCCACAGAUGGAGCUGAAUAUAUAUAUAACUAGAAGACCUGCAGAUAUAUAUUUCUACCCCUUAACAAGACUACUCUCGAGUUAAGCAAAUUAUUGAGCUUACAGAAAUGCAAGUAAACAGGUCUCAGACAUCCAAGGAAGGAAAGGUAGCAGCAUAAGCUCUCAAGCCUGGCGAAGGCGAAAGCUCUUAGGCGGCCACUGCGAAUGUUUUGAGAAACAAGCCUUCGAGUUUGUCAUCAUCGAUGAAAUACUCAUCACUAACAUAACAAUCACAUAGCACAUUAUCCUCAAAAACCUCAACCCAUCAUUACAAAGGAUAACCACGCAACAACAUGAAAUGAGAAAGGCAACUGCUGCAAAACUAAGCAAAUCCAAGAACCUAUUCCAACUGUCAAAAAAAGUGCAAUUAAACGUCCGCGAUAAUAGUCUCAGACAUCCAAGGAAGGAAAUGUAGCAGCAUUAACUCUCAAGCCUGGCGAAGGCGAAAGCUCUUAGGCGGCCACUGCGAAUGUUUUGAGAAACAAGCCUUCAAGUUUGUCAUCAUCGAUGAAUUAAUCACGCUAACAUGACAUUCACAUAACAAAUUACUCUAAAAAAACCCCAACCCCAUCAUUACAAAGCAUGACCAUGAAACAACAUGAAAUGAGAAAGGCAACUGCUGCAAAACUAAGCAAAUUCAAGAACCUAUUCCACCUGUCAAACAAAUGCAAUUAAAUGUCCGUUAUAAUAGUCUCAGACAUCCAAGGAAGGAAAGGUAGCAGCAUUAGCUCUCAAGCCUGGCGAAGGCGAAAGCUCUUAGGCGGCCACUGCGAAUGUUUUGAGAAACAAGCCUUCAAGUUUGUCAUCAUCGAUAAAAUAAUCACUGCAGCAUGACAUUCACAUAACACAAUACUCACAAAACCCCCCACCCCAUCAUUAAAAAUCACACCUACACAAGAAUAUGAAAUGAGAAGCGCCACCUGCUACAAAACUAACCAAAUACAAAAUCCUAUCCAACUGUCAGACAAUUGAAACUAAAGCUCCACGGUAAUAGUCUCAGACAUCCAAGGAAGGAAAGGUAGCAGCAUUAGCUCUCAAGCCCGGCAAAGGCGAAAGCUCUUAGGCGGCCACUGCGAAUGUUCUUUGAGAAACAAGCCUUUGGAUAGCAAUUUCAUGCUGACCAAAACAUUAACCCUCAAGCUAAUCCACACACACACACAAACAAAUCAAUCGCAUACGUUCUGCCGCAAGGAUCGGUAUUAGCGCUAGACAAAACAUGAGAAAAAAAUGGAACUCAAGGUGAGAUUUUCCAUCCUAAAAUGAUCAGCAGCUGACUAAAAGAACACGACUUGCUGACAAAGUGAAUCAGAUGGACAAAAAUCAAUGUGAGGGACUAAGUUCAUCCCUAAAGCAAUCGAAAAACUUUCCCUGCUAGAGGGGCAGACGUAUAGUCCCAAGACGGAAGUGCCCACCAACAAAUUCCUUCGGAACAACCACUAUGGACCUCACAAAUCCAACGAUAUUUCCAAACUCGAAAACCAUAAAAAGCACGCGGCUUGCUCGAAAUCCCCGCUUCAGGCAACGAAAAGCCACAACAACGAGCACGACAGAACACUACGCUAAGCCAAAGCCCGACAUCCGAACGAGCAAGCACAUGAAAGACCGACAUAAACCCAAUUCCCCACUACCCACGAACGCUAACAUCGGAACCAUAUCCGACGCGGCGGACGGCGCUCGGGAGUUUGCAGAUUCCGACAAACAUCGCCGCCGCCGGAAGAAAGAGAGGGAGGGGGGAA